GACGAACGCUGGCGGCGUGCUUAACACAUGCAAGUCGAACGGAAAGGCCCUGCUUUUGUGGGGUGCUCGAGUGGCGAACGGGUGAGUAACACGUGAGUAACCUGCCCUUGACUUUGGGAUAACUUCAGGAAACUGGGGCUAAUACCGGAUAGGAGCUCCUGCUGCAUGGUGGGGGUUGGAAAGUUUCGGCGGUUGGGGCUGGACUCGCGGCUUACCAGCUUGUUGGUGGGGUAGUGGCUUACCAAGCCUUUGACGGGUAGCCGGCCUGAGAGGGUGACCGGCCACAUUGGGACUGAGGUACGGCCCAGACUCCUACGGGAGGCAGCAGGCGGGAAUAUUGCACAAUGGGCGGAAGCCUGAUGCAGCGGCGCCGCGUGCGGGAUGACGGCCUUCGGGGUGUGAACCGCUGUCGCCUGUGACGAAGCGUGAGUGACGGUAAUGGGUAAAUAAGCACCGGCUAACUACGUG
rnacentral:rRNA from 1 species